UGGAAAUCUUAGAAAGAUUAUUAAUAGUAGAUGAGACAAGAAGAAAGUUACUCGUAAAAUUUGACCUGAAGGAUUAUUUCGAGCAAAAUCCCAUCAUUUAUUUGGGCAAUUUGUAGGAGUAUAUGUAUGCCAUCUAAUUGGGAAUUCUAAGGAAGAAUAUCUCUAAGUUCAUUCAGCUGCAAAGAUUUGAGAAGUUCUCAUUGAACCAAUGUAUGCAUAAAUUGAAAACAUCAAAAUUUGCUUUCUAUCGAACAAGCCUUGUCAAUUCACCAAUGAUGUGACAAAUUAUU
rnacentral:lncRNA from 1 species